AUGGCGGGGCAGGGACAGCGGCUGAACGUGGUGCCGACGGUGACGGUGAUGGGCAUGAUCAAGGCGCGGCUGGCGGCGGCCACCCGCGGCCACGCGCUGCUCAAGAAGAAGUCGGACGCGCUCACCGUGCAGUUCCGAGCCAUCCUCAAGCGCAUCGUGGCCGCCAAGGAGGCCGUGGGCGACUCCAUGCGCGGCGCCUCCCUCUCCCUCGCCGAGGCGCUCUACGUCGCCGGCGGGCCCCUCCGGCACGUCAUCCAGCAGUCCGUCGCCGGCCCCGCCCGCCUCCGCGUGCGCGCCCGCCACGACAACAUCGCCGGCGUCCGCCUCCCCCGCUUUGAGCACUUCACGGACGGCGCCGGCGCCAGGGCGCCGUUGCUCGCCGGGCUCGCCGGCGGCGGGGAGCAGGUGUCGGCCUGCCGUGCGGCGCACGCCCGCGCCGUCGAGCUGCUGGUGGAGCUGGCGUCGCUGCAGACGUCGUUCCUGACGCUGGACGAGGCGAUCAAGACGACCAACCGGCGCGUGAACGCGCUGGAGCACGUGGUGAAGCCGCAGCUGGAGAACACCGUUACGUACAUCAGGGGCGAGCUUGACGAGCAGGAGAGGGAGGAGUUCUUCCGUCUUAAGAAGAUCCAGGCCGUCAAGCAGCGCGAGCUGGAGCGCCAGAUGGAGUCCGCGAAGCUCUACGCCGGGGAGAAGGUCGCCGGCGAGGUCGCACUCAAGCGCGGCGUCUCCCUCGGCACCGCCGCCACCAUGCUGGACAGUGGCGACGGCCAGAGGGACGAAGACAUCAUUUUUUGA
rnacentral:rRNA from 1 species